rnacentral:rRNA from 2 species
AAACCAACAGGGAUUGCCUUAGUAACGGCGAGUGAAGCGGCAAAAGCUCAAAUUUGAAAUCUGGCACUUUCAGUGUCCGAGUUGUAAUUUGAAGAAGGUAACUCUGGAGUUGGCCCUUGUCUAUGUUCCUUGGAACAGGACGUCACAGAGGGUGAGAAUCCCGUGCGAUGGGGUGUCCAAUUCUAUGUAGAGUGCUUUCGAAGAGUCGAGUUGUUUGGGAAUGCAGCUCUAAGUGGGUGGUAAAUUCCAUCUAAAGCUAAAUAUUGGCGAGAGACCGAUAGCGAACAAGUACAGUGAUGGAAAGAUGAAAAGAACUUUGAAAAGAGAGUGAAAAAGUACGUGAAAUUGUUGAAAGGGAAGGGCUUGAGAUCAGACUCGGUAUUUUGCGAUCCUAUCCUUCGUGGAGAGGUUUCAUUUGCAGCUUACCGGGCCAGCAUCGGUUUGGAUGGUAGGAUAAUGACAUUGGAAUGUGGCUCUUCGGAGUGUUAUAGCCCUUGUUGAUACUGCCUAUCUAGACCGAGGACUGCGUCUUUGACUAGGAUGCUGGCAUAAUGAUCUUAAGCCGC